rnacentral:rRNA from 1 species
AUGGAUUUAAUUCUCCCUGCCCAGGUAACCGAUGCAAUUCCUCUUCUCCUUGAUCAGUGGAUCUGCUCGAGAGUCGCCGGGUUUUCCCCUUUGAUAAAUCAGCCACACCCAUCCCAUGCUGGUGCUCUGCACUUGGCCGGGCACAUCUGCACCCUCGACGCCGUACCUGCUUCCUCACAGCCUCCUCAUUGUUCCUACAGUUUGCUCUUGCAAUCAUUAGCCAAAGGUUGGGAACAUCAUAUGCCUACGCCCCCAACGCCACCUGCAACCUAUUUCACUCCCAUCUUUGUACGAGGUGAGAGUCCAAACCGAGCAAUAGUACCAGGUUUAGAGAUGCAGAUGCAGAUGGCCAAUGAUCUCAAACGUGUUUGUGCUGUAGCAGCAUAUAUACAGUUCUGGUCAUUCACUCACAAAUUGGCAGAAAUACAAAUCAGUACGAUCAUUCAGAAAAACCGCGUUACUAGCUAA